AUUCGAUGUUAUUGACCUGUCAGAACAGACAGAGAGGUGUUAUGACUUCCUGACUCUCGUCAGCAGUGGGAGUGGGUUUAGGUCAAUCAACUCAUAUCCUUACACCUGAAGCUCGGUACUAGGACUCCAGCUGCCACCUUUGACUACUAGACAGUGCCAAACUAUCAGACUUUGGGGAAAUUUAAUCUGUGAUUAUGACACCAUGAGGAUCAAUUUGUGAGCCGCUGAGAACACACCUCCCCUAACCUGCACACAGGCAUUACAACCCUCAGCCAUGGAGUGGGAAGACUGUGGAACUCUCCAUAGAGAUUGUGAGAGAUGCAAAGUGAGGAGGGCAGGCAUGGAGGGAAGAUCACAAGCCCACAGCCUGUUCCGCAGUAACACUUUCUUUCCUUACCAGGAGACAAGGAUUUUAAAAGUGCAGAUGUUGUCUUAUCGUGAAGUAUUGCCUGACUCUCUAAGAUGAGAUGAAUCAAAUGCAGAAUCACAGACGACAUUGGUGUGCAAGUGGCAAAAAGAGUCCUGUCCCAGCACUGCAAGGGGAAGAUAAAGGCUCGUCAUCUGUGCGUGCGUCCAUCUGAGUGGAACGUGUGUCCCGGGGGCUGCUGCCACCGCGCCGGUCCCUCCUGUAAUCCGAGCCCGUGUCAGAGGACGCGGCGCCUGCAAGGAAGAAGGGUUGCCGCAGGUGUGGCCAGAUCCUCUAGGCAAGAGGUGUGGAUUCAGGUCCUACUAGUCUUACUCCUGAUGAAGCUGGGCAAAUCAGUUGGCUCUGGAGUAAUUAGUAGCCCCUUCCUCACUGACCAUUGCAAGGAAAUACCAGUGAACUUGAGUUUCUCCAAUGAAGGUGAUCACAGUGAUGAAUGACUUGGCUUCUGCACAGCAAAAGACAUGAUCAUCAGAGCGAACAGACAACCUACAGAAUGGGAGAGCAUUUGUGCCAUCUAUCCAUCUGACAAAAGUCUAAAAUCCAAAGUUUACAAAGAACUUAAACAAAUUUACAAGAAAAAAACAAACGACCCCGUUAAAAAGUGGGCAAAGGAGAUGAACAGACACUUCUCCAAAGAAGACAUUCAUGCAGCCAACAAAGAUAUGAAAAAAGCUCGACAUUACUACUCAUUAGAGAAAUCCAAAUCAAAACCACAAUGAGAUACCACCACAUGCCAGUCAGAAUGGCAAUUAUUAAAAAGUCAAUAAACAACAGAUGCUGGUGAGAUUGUGGAGAAAAAGGAACACUUUUACACUGUUGGUGGGAAUGUAAAUUAGUUCAAACAUUGUGGAAGACAGUGUGGUGAUUCCUUAAAGAACUAGAAGCAGAAAUACCAUUUGACCCAGCAAUUCCAUUCCUGGGUAUCUACCCAAAGGAAUAUAAAUCAUUUCAUUAUAAAGAUACAUGUACGCGUAUGUUCAUUACAGCACCAAUCACAAUAGCAAAGACAUGGAAUCAAUCCAAAUGCCAAUCAAUGAUAGACUGAAUUAGAAAAAAAAAGUAGUACAUGUAUACCAUGAAUACUAUGCAGCCAUAAAAGGAAUGAGAUCAUGUUCUUUGCAGGGUCAUGGAUGGAGCUGGAAGCCGUUACUUUCAGCAAACUAACACAGGAACAGAAAGCCAAACACUGCAUGUUCUCACUUAUAAGUGAGAGCAGAAUGAUGAGAACACAUGGACACAUUAGGGGGAUCAACACACACUGGGGCCUGUUGUGGGGAUGGAGGGAGGGAGAGCAUCAGAAGAAUAGUUAAUGGAUGUUGGGCUUAAUACCUAGGUGAUGGUUUGUGAUAUGGUUAGGCUUUUUGUCCCCACCCAGAUCUUAUCUUGAAUUGUAAUCCCUGUAAUCGCCAAGUGUCUAGGGAGAUACCUGGUAGGGGGUGAUUAAAUCAUGGGGGCGGUUUCCCCCAUGCUGUGGUUGUACGGAAAAGAAAGAGAGAUCAGACUGUUACCGUGUCUAUGUAGAAAGGAAAGACAUAAGAGACUCCAUUUUGAAAAAGACUUGUACUUUAAACAAUUGCUUUGCUGACAUGUUGUUAAUUUGUAGCUUUGCCCCAACCACUUUGCCCAAACCACUUUGACCCAACCUGGAGCUCACAAAAACAUGUGUUGUAUGAAAUCAAGGUUUAAGGGAUCUAGGGCUGUGCAGGACGUGCCUUAUUAACAAAAUGUUUACAAGCAGUAUACUUGGUAAAAGUCAUUGCCAUUCUCUAGUCUCAGUAAACCAGGGGCACAAUGCACUGCGGAAAGCUGCAGGGACCUCUGCCCUUGAAAGCUGGGUCUUGUCCAAGGUUUCUCCCCAUGCGAUAGUCUGAAAUAUGGCCUCGUGGGAUGAGAAAGACCUGACCGUCCCCCAGCCCGACACCCGUAAAGGGUUUGUGCUGAGGUGGAUUAGUAAAAGAGGAAAGCCUCUUGCAGUUGAGAUAGAGGAAGGCUACUGUCUCCUGCCUGCCCCUGGGAACUGAAUGUCUCGGUAUAAAACCCGAUUGUACAUUUGUUCAAUUCUGAGAUGAGAGGAAAACCACCCUGUGGUGGGAGGCGAGACAUGUUUGCAGCAAUGCUGCCUUGUUAUUCUUUACUCCACUGAGAUGUUUGGGUGGAGAGAAACAUAAAUCUGGCUUACGUGUAUGUCCAGUCAUAGUACCUUCCCUUGAACUUAAUUAUGACGUAGAUUCUAUUGCUCACAUGUUUGUUGCUGACCUUCUCCUUAUUAUCACCCUGCUCUCCUACUACAUUCCUUUUUGCUGAAAUAAUGAAAAUAAUAAUCAAUAAAAACUGAGGGAACUCAGAGACCGGUGCCAGUGCAGGUCCUUGGUAUGCUGAGCGCCGGUCCCCUGGGCCCACUGUUGUUUCUCUGUACUUUGUCUCUGUGUCUUAUUUCUUUUCUCAGUCUCUCGUCCCACCUGACUAGAAAUACC
rnacentral:lncRNA from 10 species